UACGCACGUAAAUAUAUCCCUAGCGGGCAGGAUCUUUUCAACACAAUGAAAAAGAUCAUAAUCAGUCUAGGUAAUAAAAAAUAAAAAAAAAUAAAGAAAACGUUGUAAUGAGUUUUUUCAUACUUUACAACGCCUUUUUUUUUUUAACAU
rnacentral:snoRNA from 1 species